AACACAUGCAAGUCGAACGAAGUGCCUUCGGUGCUUAGUGGCGCACGGGUGCGUAACGCGUGGGAAUCUGCCCCUUGGUUCGGAAUAACAGUUGGAAACGACUGCUAAUACCGGAUGAUGACGUAAGUCCAAAGAUUUAUCGCCGAGGGAUGAGCCCGCGUAGGAUUAGGUAGUUGGUGUGGUAAAGGCGCACCAAGCCGACGAUCCUUAGCUGGUCUGAGAGGAUGAUCAGCCACACUGGGACUGAGACACGGCCCAGACUCCUACGGGAGGCAGCAGUGGGGAAUAUUGGACAAUGGGCGAAAGCCUGAUCCAGCAAUGCCGCGUGAGUGAUGAAGGCCUUAGGGUUGUAAAGCUCUUUUACCCGGGAUGAUAAUGACAGUACCGGGAGAAUAAGCUCCGGCUAACUCC
rnacentral:rRNA from 1 species